CGUUCGAGUUGUUAUAUCCGGGCUAAGACCCGAAGGCAUUUGUGCAAGUUACCAAAUCCGGGUUAAGACCCGAAGGCAAUUGUGCUUGUGGUUAUAUCCGGCUAAAUUCCGAAGAAACUCGGUUUGAAGAUUUUGUUCGUUAGCUAUCGGAUUCGGGAUCAUCGAAGUCGAAGUCAUCCACACUAUCAAAGCCCUUUGGUACUCUUUUAGUUGAACUCUGGAUAUGGCAUGUAUAGGACUACCCUUUGUUGUUUUUCAAAUACUUUUUGUGAUGUAUGUGUGUACAGCCAUGCGAAAAUGGCUCAUAGAAGUGGAGUAUGGCAUUAGACCAUUUGUGUUUAUGUAUAUGUAUAUGGUUUCAUGA